CGGCAGCGUGAUGCCCGUCACAAACCCCACGCAAACCGGCAGUUUCAUUCUACGGUUUAUUCGUUUAAAGCGCUGCAUUAUCAGUGGUAAAUCAAGCCUGCAUUUUUCCAAAAUCACAUUUGGAAUGGUCCUGUUUGCCCGUGGGCUUUGGGCUGGCGAUGCUGUUCCUCUUCCAACCACACCGUGAUCUACAAGAGCUCAGUUUGUGCGGCCGCGAGAACACAUCUGGUAGAGGAUCAACAUCUAAUCUGUAUCGUGUGAGGCUCCGUCAAUUAUGUUUUAGAGUCACACGAUUAUCUUCUGCUGUGAAGUUCUGCGAAACCUCUCGCACAUGAUGAGCAAGCUCAGGUGAAACGGUCAAAGCUCCUGUUCGUCAGGGAAUCACAACAUCUACAUCCACACUAUGACCAGAAGCAUCUCGAGUUCACACUGAUUUCACACACUCGUCCUGUUCUUCUGACGCCGGUGCUGUUCUUCCUCAGAGCUUCUCAGGACAGACGGGGACAGGGAAUGAAAGCAGUGAAGACGACGCACGACUCCAGCGUGAGGAAGCCGGAUCUUCAUCCCUCCUCUCUCACACACACACACACACAGCGCAGGAGCGGUGAGUUCAUCAUCCCUUCCUCUCGAGUGUGUGUUCUCGACGGCAGGACAGCUUCUGCUACAGUCACACUCAUCUACUCUUGCAAUUCUCCGGGUGUAACAGUCACAUUGAUCAUGAGUGUAAUAUUUCAGUGUGCACAGAUCUGAACUCAAACUAAAUUAUUUCAUCAAUACUUUGCUUUGUUCAAGUUUACUCUAAUGCAAAUUAACUUAACUAAACAUUUUCUUUUAUUUGAUAAAAAAUAGAUAUUUUACAUUACACAAAAAACAAAAAAGUAUGUCAAAAACCUGUCUAACCAAGCAAAACUGAAGUUGCUAAAGCUUGUAAAGCUCCCGUUUCUUGUAACACGGUGUUCAAUUUCAAAAGGACGAAUUCAAGUGUUUGUUUUUGAAUGAUG